rnacentral:lncRNA from 1 species
UUGUUUUUUCUUGGUAGUCCAACAGACUGUUUUUAUAUUAGUUUUUAUUUUAAUUCUAAUUUUUAAUCAAUCUUGGUUUACUUAUCCAAAUUAGCAUUAAAAUAAUAACUAAUCAUAAAUGGUCUAGUGGAGAGAGGGUAGUUUCUUGGUCUUUAGUGGAGUGAGUUCGAUACCUAUAUAUGGCAUUUUAUUUCUUUUAGCAUUCAUUUUUUUUUCAUGUUU